AUACGCCCGUUUGAAAAACGGGACGUAUUAUGGGAACGCCCCUGGCGGGCGGAUGGGCGGUUGGGCGGGCGGGCGGGCGGGCGGCGUCCACAGACCUUGUCCGGAGCAUAUCUUCUACAUGCAUGGAGGGAUUUUGAUGAAACUUGGCACAGUUGUUCACCAUCAUGAGACGGAGUGUCAUGCGCAAGAACCAGGUCCCUAGGUCUAAGGUCAAGGUCACACUUAGAGGUCAAAGGUCAAAUUCAAGAAUGACUUUGUCCGGAGCAUAUCUUCUUCAUGUAUGGAGGGAUUUUGAUGAAAGUUGGCACAAUUGUUCAUCAUCAUGAGACGGAGUGUCAUGCGCAAAAACCAGGUCCCUAGGUCUAAGGUCAAGGUCACACUUAGAGGUCAAAGGAUACAAGAAUGAAAAAUUCAAGAAUGACUUUGUCCGGAGCAUAUCUUCUUCAUGCAUGGAAUGAUUUUGAUGUAGCUUGGCACAGUUGUUCACCAUAAUGAGAGGGAGUGUCGUGCGCAAGAACCAGGUUCCUAGGUCUAAGGUCAAGGUCACACUUAGAGGUCAAAGGAUACAAGAAUGAAAACUUUGUCCGGAGCAUAUCUUCUUCAUGCAUGAAAGGACUUUGAUGUAGCUUGGCAAAAUUGUUCACCAUCAUGAGACGGAGUGUCAUGCGCAAGAACCAGGUCCCUAGGGGUAAGGUCAAGGUCACACUUAGAGGUCAAAGGAUACAAGAAUGAAAACUUUGUCCGGAGCAUUUCUUCUUCAUGCAUUGAGGGAUUUUGAUACAACUUGGCACAAAUGUUCACAGCAUGAGACGGAGUGUCAUGCGCAAGAACCAGGUCCCUCGGUCUAAGGUCAAGGUCACACUUAAAGGUCAAAGGUCAGAUACAAGAAUGACUUUGUCUGGAGCAUUUCUUCUUCAUGCAUGUAGGGAUUUUGAUGCAACUUGGCACAAUUGUACACCAUCAUGAGACGGAGUGUCAUGCACUGGUCCCUUCUUUAAAAUUACUUCCCUUUGCUGUUACUAUAAAUAGCUUAUAUUGUAACUUUUUCAUUACAAGUCGUAGGGAAAAAUCGAGACCACUUUUCUGUAGUACAACAUGCAUGUUACAUCCAAUUCUGAGGUGUAUUUUGAGCUAUCUCUACCUGGUAAGGAUUUUUGUGUGGACUUGUAAUUUUUUUUUUUCGAUUUUUUUUUUUUUUUUUUUUUUUCUCUUUAAAGAUUAACUUCCCUUAGUUGUUACUAUAAAUAACUUACGUUGUAACUUUUUUAUAAUUGACCGUAGGGAAAAACCAAGACCACUUUUCUGUGGUACAACAUUGAUAUUACUUUCAAAUUUUGGGUGUAUUUUAAGGUAUCUCUACCUGGUAAGGAUUUUUUUUGUGGACUUAGAAAAAUAAAAGAAUUACAAUAAUUUCUAAAAAAAACAACAUUGUAAACAACUAGAAAAUUAAAAUUCCAUUUGCAAAUACAGGUGCUAGUGUAAACAAAUUUGCUGUGACGGGCGUAUAUUGUGACAUUCUGCACCCUUGUUUCAUUCUAAUCUUCAUUCAGAUUAAAUUUUCAUUUACAUUUUUUCAUUCUAAACUUCAUUCAGACUUUUAUUACGAUUUUUAUUGAAUUUUUAGACAGGGAUGAAUUUUUCCAUUCCAGUUGUUCAGUAAUUCCAUGAAAGGUUCCAUUACUAAUUAAAUUGUAGAUAUUUUUUCAAGGUAUUUUAUCAUGCAUAAGCCAAGUUACAAAUAUAACUUACUUGCUUUAUGUAAGUUGUUGUUUCAGCCUACUUUUUACCUUCAUUUUAUCAUUUUAAACAUUUAUAUAUUUACUUCAUAUCUUUGUAUCUUAAUAUGUAUAUUUAGAAGUUAUCUACUAGUUGGUAAAACUACUGUAUUAAGGUAGUUCAGCAUGUUUGGAAGGCCAGAAGUUAGUGCUUCAUAUAAUACUAUGUCAUUUUUUAUCUGGAAAACCUAGAAAUAAACUUGCAUAUGGUAUACAGAAACUUUAAUCUUGCUACAAAUAAAUGGCAGCCCGUGUGAUAAUUGAUAAAACUAGCAAUGACACAAGUAUGUUGAAGAUAGAAUAUCUUAAAACAAAAGUAAAAAAAGUGAAAUAAUUCUAAAUUGUGUCAUAAGAUUUACUUGAAAUUCUUUUUUCUUUUUUCUCAUUAAUAACAAAAUAUCUCAAAGUGAAGCACAAGGACCAUUACAUUUUUAGUUAACAAUAUUUAUAGAAAAUGUAUUAGUUUACAGAAUUGUGAGAAAUUCCAUUGAUAUCUAUAUUGUAGUAUUGUUUCAGUAUGCAAAAUUGUGUUUUUCCCAUAGUAUCCCAGCAUGAAAACUAACUGGAGGUUUACAUUUUUCAAACCAGUCCUGUAAACUCUGUAUUUAUAAUUCGUUUGCUAAGUGGUUGUUGAAUAUUGUGAAGUUCGAAAAAGAAAUUGGAAUUAAACAAAUUCUACAUUGUAGAAAACAAAAUUUGAUCUUAACAUGGAGAACUACCUUAAAAUCAUUACCUUAAAUCAGCAUUAAGAAGGUUUUUUUUUGUACCAGUUGCUUGGAACAUUGUGUUAUUUUCCGCAGACUAUAUUUAAGUAAAAAUUCUAACUGUAAAAUGUAAUCAUAGUUCACUGUAAGAAAUUGAGGCAUGAAGAGAACCUGGUCCAGUUGUAGAUGUUUUGAAAAUUAACAGGAGAGAGAAUUUGUAUAGUGUUUUAAGACCAUCAGUAUGAAGCUUCUUUGCUUUCAUUUUUGGAUUUUUGGUGCUAUGUUGUUGAAAUUUUACACAAUGAAUGUAGAUCUUAAGUUGUUUUCUGUGACAAAAAAAGUUCAUUAUGUUUAAUUUUAGACUUUUAUGUAGGAAUGCAUAUCAGUUCGUCAAUUCUUAAUUCUUAAUAAUCUUUAUAAAGGUGUAAAUUUUGACUUAUAAAUUUCAUUUGAAGUAAAUUACAUAAAAUUGAUUUUUCUUUAAAAAGAAUGGUGUCAGUGCUUGGCAUUAAGUGACACAAGAUCCUGUAUAGAAUUUAUUUAAACAAGGCUCAUUUGUCUUUACAUAGUUAACAGAAAUAUGAUUUGUUGUAGAUGGAUUUAGGUAGCCAAAAUUAAAUAACAAUUUUUUUAUAUUAUCUUUCAUACAAACAUUGUGAAUGACAGUGUUAUUUGUUUUUAAAUCAGUCAUUAUAUUUUUAUUUUUCAUUUACAGAAUUCUGUUUUGUGUUGUUUUCCUUUUGCUUUUUUCUUCUCAAAUCUUGAAUGAAUCAUAUCAAUUGGUACGCGUGAAUUCAUGUUCAGUGAUUCUCAUGGUGUUGUGUAAGUUAAGAAAUGGAUCAUCUUGAAAUCCAUUUUACCAUGAACUAAUUGCUCAAUUACUGGUGUUAGAAUUGAUCAGAUGUUGUAUUGUCAGAUUCAGAAUCACCUUUCUAUCCAGUAAGGUCAACAAGGCGUGUCCGGAGUAAAAAUACAGUAACUGUUGAAACUCUGUAUCCUAGUCACUUUUCUUGAAAAUAUGGAAAUCUUGGAGACAAGUUUAAGUGUAAUCACAAUUCCUUCCUAUUAAAUGGUACAGGUCUAGUUUUAGUUAUCACCAAGUUGGUCCUUUGGCAUUUGAGAAACCUGGUUUUAACUGUAUUUGAUGUUUCUAUAUAAUAUGAAAUAAGGCACUGCCUCAAUCGUGAAUCGAUCCAACUUCAACUCACCCCAUAAGAUUUGAAAAGAACUGUAUAAUGACAGCAUCGAUUCCGUAUCAUUUUAAAGUUAGAUUUUGGAAUAAAAACAACACUGCCCAUAUUUGUACUGAUGUGCAAGACGAUGCGGUUUGGACAAGUUAUGUGGACGCUUGUAAGGCACAAGGAAAAAGCAUAUUCUUCAAAAAUAUCCGAAGUCAGACACUCUGUGCACGUGCCGGAAGGACACAUUUUUUAAUGCGAUAGUAUAUAUCUCAUUCGGUAUAUCGCAUGUUACCGUAGAGGGAUCGAUCCCCUAUUAACAUAAGCCAGUAGUCUGCUUUAUCCAGACUGUACUAACUGUUACACUGUAUUUUGGGUAAAUUUAGUCUUCAGUGAACAUUUGAACAAUCUUUACUAGAAAGGUCUUUUUGAAAUCCGACUACACACAUCAAUAUAUUUGCCCAAAAAAAUUUAGACAGCCAGUCUUGCCAAACGAAAUAAUAGAUACUGUAAAUUAUAUUUUCUUUUGGUACAAAGUGCACUUCCAAUUUUAAACCAUUCCACAUCUAUUAGGUAUAUACUUUCGCAUAAUUUUGCAAUGUAGAAGACAAACUUUUAUUAAACUGAAUGAUGUCUAUAAACUUCAUUUGCACACUGUUGUUUUUUUUUUUUUAAUUCAUUAAAAAAAAUGUCUUUUUUUUUUUUCUGCUUUACUUUGAUUUUGAUUCAUUUUAGUCUUAUUUGAAAACGUUCAAUGAAUCUGAAAUCUUAGGAACAUCUGUCUUUAUUUCUUUACUAUUUACAUUUUGUCAUCUCUAUUGUACAGUAUACCAUAUUAUUGUAAUGUAAUCAUACAUAUAUACAUUCAUACAUACACUCACCCAAGAGCUCUCCAGGCAAAAGCAUAAUGUUCCAAUCAUAUUGUCUGAACUGUUUUUUAGCUAACCUGUCACAAAGUGACAAGGUGAGCUUUUGUGAUCGCGCGGUGUCCGUCGUCUGUCGUCUGUCCGUCCGUGCAUGUGUGCGUGCGUCCGUCCGUAAACUUUUGCUUGUGACCACUCUAGAGGUCACAUUUUUCAUUGGAUCUUUAUGAAAGUUGGUCAGAAUGUUCAUCUUGAUGAUAUCUAGGUCAAGUUCGAAACUGGGUCACCUGCCUUCAAAAACUAGGUCAGUAGGUCUAAAAAUAAAAAAACCUUGUGACCUCUCUAGAGGCCAUAUAUUUCACAAGAUCUUCAUGAAACUUGGUCAGAAUGUUCACCUUGAUGAUAUCUAGGUCAAGUUCGAAACUGGGUCACUUGCCAUCAAAAACUAGGUCAGUAGGUCUAAAAAUAGAAAAACCUUGUGACCUCUAGAGGCCAUAUAUUUCACAAGAUCUUGAUGAAAAUUGGUCAGAACGUUCACCUUGAUGAUAUCUAGGUCAAGUUCGAAACUGGGUCACGUGCCGACAAAAACUAGGUCAGUAGGUCAAAUAAUAGAAAAACUUUGUGACCUCUCUGAAGGCCAUAUUUUUCAUGGGAUCUGUAUGAAAGUUGGUCUGAAUGUUCAUCUUGAUGUUAUCUAGGUAAAGUUCGAAACUGGGUCACGUGCGGUCAAAAACUAGGUCAGUAGGUCUAAAAAUAGAAAAACCUUGUGACCUCUCUAGAGGCCAUAUAUUUCAUGAGAUCUUCAUAAAAAUUGGUCAGAAUGUUCACCUUGAUGAUAUCUAGGUCAAGUUCGAAAGUGGGUCACUUGCCUUCAAAAACUAGGUCAGUAGGUCAAAUAAUAGAAAAACCUUGUGACCUCUCUAGAGGCCAUAUUUUUCAUGGGAUCUGUAUGAAAGUUGGCCUGAAUGUUCAUCUUGAUGAUAUCUAGGUCAAGUUCGAAAGUGGAUCACGUGCCAUCAAAAACUAGGUCAGUAGGUCAAAUAAUAGAAAAACCUUGUGACCUCUCUAAAGGCCAUAUUUUUCAUGGGAUCUGUAUGAAAAUUGCUCUGAAUGUUCAUCUUGUUGAUAUCUAGGUCAAGUUCGAAAUAGGGUCAUGUGCGGACAAAAACUAGGUCAGCAGGUCUAAAAAUAGAAAAACCUUGUGACCUCUCUAGAGGCCAUACUUGUGAAUGGAUUUCCAUUAAAAUUGGUCAGAAUGUUCACCUUGAUGAUAUCUAGGUCGAUUUUGAAACUGGGUCACAUGCCUUAAAAAACUAGGUCAGUAGGUCAAAUAAUAAAAAAACCUUGUGACCUCUCUAGAGGCCAUACUUUUCAUGGGAUCUGUAUGAAAGUUGGUCUGAAUGUUCAUCUUGAUGAUAUCUAGGUCAAUUUUUAAACUGGGUCAACUGCGGUCAAAAACUAGGUCAGUAGGUCUAAAAUUAUUUAAAUCUUUUGACCACUCUAGAGGCCAAAUUUUUCAAUGGAUCUUCAUGAAAAUUGAUCUGAAUGUUCACCUUGAUGAUAUCUAGGUCAAGUUCGAAAUUGGGUCACGUGCGGUCAAAAACUAGGCCAGUAGGUAUUAAAAUAGAAAAACCUUGUGACCUCUCUAGAGGCCAUAUUUUUCAUGAGAUCUUCAUGAAAAUUAGUGAGAAUGUUCACUUUGAUGAUAUCUAGGUAAAGUUCAAAACAGGGUCACCUACCUUCGAAAACUAGGUCAAUAGGUCAAAUAAUAGAAAAACCUUGUGACCUUUGUAGAGACCAUAUUUUUCAAUGGAUCUUCAUGAAAAUUGGUCAGAAUUUUUAUCUUGAUAAUAUCUAGGUCAAGUUCAAAACUGGGUCACAUGAGCUCAAAAACUAGGUCACUAUGUCAAAUAAUGACGUCAUACUCAAAACUGGGUCAUGUGGGAAGAGGUGAGCGAUUCAGGACCAUCAUGGUCCUCUUGUCUUCUUUUUCAUGUACCCGUAUUUACAAAUAAAUGAGUAAAAUGUUUAUUUAUCUAUAAAAAGCCACCAAUUUUAUAUGCUCAUGAACAAAAUCCUUUGAAUAUGUCACGUAUGUCUGAUCUUAUUUUUUUAUGCCACUUUAAACUUUGCGGGGAAAAGAUGAUCUUAAGAAACAAUGCUUUCAAGGACUCUCCGAGUAUUGACUUAUUUUGUUCUCCGGUUAAAUUAAGACUAGUGAUGAAAACUUGCAUAUAAAUAAUAAGAAAUGCAAGAAAAUGUAAUUUUUAUGUGUACUUCUGUUGCAUAGGGAAUAAAAUCUAUCGUAGAAGAAAUGUGUUGUAUAAUAUCUACGGUAUAUAACUACAUUCAGUUCCUUGCUAUCAGAAAUCAACACUUAUGAAAAAUGCAUUUGCACUUUGAAAGUUUUUUCUAGUUAGUGAUAGGUAACAUGGAGUGACAGGUAACACGGAACGAUAGGUUACAUGCAAUGACAGGUAACACGGAGCGAUAGGUAAAGCAGAGUGAUAGGUAACACAGAGUGAUAGGUAACACAGAGCGAUAGGUAACAUGGAGUGAUAGGUAACACAGAGUGAUAUGUAACAUGGAGUGAUAGGUAACACAGAUUCUUUCUCUGUAUAUUCCUUAAUGAGUCAGGUUGUCUUUUCCAUAUUUCAUAUUGUUUUAACAUGGUCUAUUGUUUGUUCAAUAUGUAUUGUUGUUGCUGUUGUUUUCUCUCUCAUGCUUUGUUAUGUCAUUGAAUAUUAACUUCAGCUUUAACCAAGUUACCAAAUUUACUUGAUCUUUUCCUGAUAAAAUUUAUCAGAAGUGAUUAUAUUUUAUGACAAUUUUUUUAAAUGGAAUUUUAAGAUCUAGUAAACAUGCUGUGCAUGCAAACCUGGCAUCUACUUUGAGAGUUAUUCAUUCUUUAAAAUUGUUUUUUACAUGCAUUUAUAUACUAAAUACAGAGCAGGAGAAAGUUUUAAAUGUCCAUUCCAGAUCUUGAGCUGCAUUUUGAACUACGAUUGAGAGCUUUAGGUAGAAUAAAAAACUUUUUCCAAAAUUUUCAUGAAAUUUGUGCUCUUAUCUAAGAUGUUCUUUUACUUUCUAUUCUCAGGAAUUUUUAUGCUGGCACAUUCCACUAUUCGUUAAAAACACUUGUCACCAACUAUAUGUUCAAUAUUUAGCCAAAAAAUUAUUGUUACACUUAGUUGCUUUUAGAAUUGUAUAUUGUGGAUGCAAGCAUUUGAAUUUAUGUGAAGAUUACAAGAUUUUUUUUAAUGAAACUGUAUGUAGAAGUACGUUGUAUAUACUAUUUUACGAAGUAUUUUAAAAACUGUACUUAACCUUUAGCCUGCUGGCAGCAAGUGAUUUUGCCUUUGUGACCAGUGCAGACCAAGAUAAGCUUGCAUGUCUGUGCAGGCUGAUCAUGGUCUGCACUGUUCGCUAUUCAGUCAGUAAAUUUUCAGUGAACACCCCUUUGAAUAAUAAAUGGUAAAGCCCAAAUUGAAUGAUAGAUCAGUCCAUUUUAGAAAUUAAGCAGGGUAAAGGUUGAGGAAAAGAGGUAGUUUUUUGUGUAUAAAACGGUGUUCAAUCCAAAGCAGUGUGCAAUAACCUCUCUGUUGCAUGUUGAUAUAGUUACACAAUGUGAUAAUGAUGUUAUACUGUGUGACAAUGGUAUGUAAUUAUGUGUGUGCGAUUUCUGGUUCGUAAAAUGUUUUCAGAUACACGCCUUUCAUUCUACUGUUUACUUACAUAUCAGAAAAAUGUGCCUUAAGUUUUAACCUUAUAACUUUACAUUUUUCUUUUUGAAAAUUUUUAAGUCCGCUUUUAUCAAGUAUGUCAUAUGCUUAAUGACCAGUUUACUGUAUUACUGUGAAUGGUUGCAGUAUUUAUACAGAUAGUUGUCAAGGAACUAUAUACAUACUGUUUUAGUGGAUAUUUUUUGCAUAUCCUAAACAUUCUGAUACAAAAAGAUUAAUGCCAAAGUAAGUUAUGCCAAUUUUCAAUGCAAAUUGUUUCUCUUUAUGAAAAACAACUGUAGUUAGAUAUCAGAUUUGGCAGUAGAGAUUCUUAAACAAGGAAAUACUGAAUUUUUAAAAUUGUUGUAAUUAUGUUUUUAUGUGAGACAGUCACUUUUUUUGCACAUAUUGUUUACUUGUGAUCUUAUUCAUACAUAAUAUUAAAGUGUUAACUCUU